UGAGUUGAAUGUCAUCUCACAAUACAAAAAGUAACCAGUCUUAUGGACUCUAAAGUUUUAUUCAUUUAAAGCUGUCUUACAGACAAAGCGGCCGGUCAUAGGUGGACCACCAUUUAAUGCUCAGGAGAAACGCUUGUAGUCAGGAGGGGAAAAUGUUGUGACGUUGCCUAAAUCUCGUGUCUGGUGGCACCAAAAUUGAGCCCUGAUUGCCGACGUCCCCACAAAGUCUGUCGUGUUGUUGCAGAUUGAUCGAUAGCUUUAAUCUCUGGAUCUUGUUUCUGUUGGAAGAGGUUUUUUCUUUUCUUUUUUUAUGAUGUUUUGUACUGUACCUGAUGAUAAAAGAAGAAUAAUCACUUUAGCUGAUUUAUUUUUGUAUAAAUUAAGGCAAUAGGAUUACAGUCUGAUCACUGUAGAUUCUUUAUCUGUCUGUCUCGGGGCGAUUGUAGAUGGAAGGUCACCGGAUGCGGUUUCCUUUUUGUCAUGACUCUGGGACAUUAUGUUCAUUCAAGCGGGUAUUUCUUUAAAAGCUAAAGACUUUUGUGACAUCAAGGAAAUGUGACGUUUCUCACGUGAGAUGUCCAAAGAAAAGUACUUGAAGCACUACAAGUUUUUUUUUUUUUUUUUUUAGUUUUUUUUUUUUAUUUGGCCGACCUGUAAAUUAUUUUUAUUUUUAGAGGUUUUUAUUUUUGUGCUCGCUGUGAAAGACCAGGCCUUUUUUGGAUUGACUUGGGAAAGACUUUUUAAAUCAACACACAACUGUUCAAAUGUGUUUCUUUUAAGCUAGUUAAUUCAGUUGAGGAUGCAGUGAGUUAUUUUCAAUUAUUGUAGGUCUUCUCUCCUGUGAUGCAGGAGGAUACAGAUUUGUUUAUUUAAAGAGAAUCUGGGAACCACACGGUUUGCAGACUGUUUUGUGUAGGUGGUCAUUGAUGACUAUUGAACAUGGAGAGGAUACUUUAAAUAAUGAAUUCUGCUAUUUCUCUGCUACAUUUGGCUUCAUUCACACACUGCUGAUUUUCUCCUUUGGCGCCGACAGUUUUGAUUAGAGCACAGCUUGCCAGUCCAUUAAAAUUAUGUUUAGAUGACAGAUUAAGCCAUUGAAUUAGGCCUUGAAGCAUUUUGGUCAUUAUGAAAGUUAAUGGUUCGCUCCCACCUUUUUUAGAGAUAUGAAAUCCCAUCAGUAGGAUGCCGCCCAAACAACCAGCCAUCUUCAUUUGAUGGUUCUAAGCUUGAUUGUCACUUUUUUCAAAUCUUUUCUUUUUGGGUAAAAAAAAUGUAUUUAAUAUCUGAUGCAAGUUUGUGUGCGGGUGAUUUGCCUCAUGUUAUAUAUGCAUGAACCUGUGUAACGUGGCACCGGGGUUGUCCACGAACCAGCCAAUCAACGAGGAUAGCUGUCCACUCAAAAUACAGGGUGAGCAAUCUCAUAUUGUCCCAUCAUUAAAAGGAAGCACUCACUUUUAUUCAAUAACCAUUCUUCUUACAAUCUGUUGAGAAACAUUUUGAAAAAAUACAGAAAUUUGUAUAAAAAUGAUGCACCAGAAUUUUUGUGAAAGCCGUUAUGAGGUUUCUUUUAUUUAAUUCCCUGUUCUGCAGGUCCAGCAGAGGUGCUCUGUCUGUUCUAGAGCAUUACUGCAAAACGGUCAAUGUCUUUCAUAUUAUCUUCAUAGCUAUUGUUUGAGGCUAAUCCAUGAAAAGAUGUUCAGAAGAACCAUAAUGCCUUUCUUAUAGCCUAAAGAUGGAAGAUAAUCAAGUAGGUUUCUUGGACUUUCUGGUCUGCCAGACAGGAGACUGCUCAGGGGAAUUUACCGCUGCUCUGUGAUCAAAAUCUCUACCUUUAAAAACAAAACAAAAAAAACACAGCUUUUCAGGAUUUUUAUUAAAAACUGCCUUUACAAGUAGAUCUACACUUUUUGAAAGUAGCUAUGUUUUUUUUGAACGUCAGAAAAACUUGCUUUCAACACAUCAUUAUGAGGUUUUUCCCACUUGAAGCAGCAUUAUAUACAUGUGACCCGGGAGUUAGAACAAAAAUGCACUUUUUUAUUUUUGUGAAUUUCAUUUUGUAUUUUUAUUUUUUAUUUUUUUCAAGGGGUUCUUGAAAAAGGAUUGGGAGUUUGGGGGGGGGGGGGCAUAAAUAAAAAAUGGUUCAUUGUACAACUAUGUUUAUCUUUGUCAAAUGGAAUAUAGAACCAUUUAGAUGAAAAGUAAUAAAGAAUUUCAAACCUCAAUUGAAAUAAAGAUUCAUCUUUAUUUAUAGUUCAUAUUUGUGUUGUAAAUUUAAAAUAAACCCAUGGAAACUUGCCCAUGUUGCCCAAAAGCAUGUGACAACAUUGCUAGGAUUAUAUUAGGCCUAUUGCAUCACCAAAUUCCUUCCAUGCUUUCAAAUGAACAAUAUUUUCUAAUCCC
ensembl:lncRNA